AUGACGACACCAGCUGUUAAUUUUUUGUGCUGGAACGUGAGGGGGUUAAAUGACCCGGACAGGCGCGCGACUGUGCACGAGACGAUCGCCUCCACCUCGUGCCACAUAGUUUGCCUCCAGGAGUCCAAAAUGGAAGCUGUCGAUCAGUACGUCGCCUCCUAUCUUGGCGGCAAUAGGCUACGGAGCUUUGCUCAGCGUCCAGCCACUGGAACCAGAGGGGGCCUGCUCAUGCUUUGGGACGAUAGCGUCGUUCGUAUAUCCGACGUCUGCACCACAGAGUUCUGCCUUUCGGCAACGGUCAACGUCAUUCAUUCUGACACCCCUUUCAAGAUCACU
rnacentral:rRNA from 1 species